AUCCUUUUGUAGUUCAUAAGCAUGAUGAUUGGGUGUUCGUGCUGUUGUAUGACAUGUGCCACCCUUAAACCUUGUUACAACACCGGUACAUUACCCAUCUGACA
ensembl:snoRNA